rnacentral:rRNA from 1 species
GACGAACGCUGGCGGCGUGCUUAACACAUGCAAGUCGAACGGAAAGGCCCUGCUUUUGUGGGGUGCUCGAGUGGCGAACGGGUGAGUAACACGUGAGUAACCUGCCCUUGACUUUGGGAUAACUUCAGGAAACUGGGGCUAAUACCGGAUAGGAGCUCCUGCUGCAUGGUGGGGGUUGGAAAGUUUCGGCGGUUUGGGAUGGACUCGCGGCAUAUCAGCUUGUUGGUGGGGUAGUGGCUUACCAAGGCUUUGACGGGUAGCCGGCCUGAGAGGGUGACCGGCCACAUUGGGACUGAGAUACGGCCCAGACUCCUACGGGAGGCAGCAGUGGGGAAUAUUGCACAAUGGGCGGAAGCCUGAUGCAGCAACGCCGCGUGCGGGAUGACGGCCUUCGGGUUGUAAACCGCUUUCGCCUGUGACGAAGCGUGAGUGACGGUAAUGGGUAAAGAAGCACCGGCUAACUACGUG